AGCGAUUGUGCCGAUCGGAUGGAUAGUCGGCGAACUGGUGGUCAAUUGAGAAUUGUGUGCUUCGGAUUUUUAGAUGAUUUAAAAGAAGACCGAAACGGAUCAUAUUGAUUAAAUAAAAGUGGAAGCCAUGUAGACGAUCACUGUGUACUGAAGAUGUCGGAGCAACAGAAUUAGAAGGAUAAUGUCCCAUUCUCUGAGUUUUACUAGAAUCUAUACUAUUGAAAAUAUAUAUUUGCUUUGAUUUUUUUGUUUCGGAUGGAAAUUGUGACCUGCAUCUGUCCCGCCAAAUAACAUCUGCACGCACGUGGCGCAUCGGCAAAAAGCAAAAUGUAC